rnacentral:lncRNA from 1 species
CAUGGCCUAGCCAGUUAACACAUAAAAUAAAUCAUCCAAACAGAAAUGCCUGGACAGAUCUUUCCCAGCCCUCAGAAGGAACCAACCUGGCUGAUGACUGACUUGUGUGUCAGACUUCUAGCCUCCAGACUGCAAGACAAUAAAUUUCUGUUGUUUAAACCAACCAGUCUAUAGCACCAUAUUACAAAUUAAUACACUAGUCUAAAGACCCCAGGUGUGGGGGGUUGGGCCUGGAGGUGAGGAGUCUCAUGGGAUUCACUAUUUACCAUCUAGUCUCCUUUAACGCGAUAGCCACAUAUUCCUGCCUCUCUGCUUCCCAGUAUACGUUAGCAAAAUGAUGCCUACACAAAGCACCAUAUUGUGCUUCAUUUUACACAUGAUAUCCUCUUCUUACACUUAGAUGUAGCCUUCUCCCCUCUACCUAAGAGGGAACAGGAUCAAGGACAGUAGUACUGAGAAGAGCCAGUUUAUAGCCAAUUGAUAGGGUUGUGUAUUGAAAGGGAAGGCGAAAUAAUGUUUGUUUCCUUAUUGAAUAUCACUGGGGACUGUGAUGGGUUUUUUAAAUAUAUGUUUAUACUUUUGGGAAGGUGAUGUGAAGAAAUAAAUCUCAAAUCUAGGUGAAAUGUGUUAGUGACCCUCAACUUUUCUUUGUAUUUUGCCACCCACUCCCUGCAUGGCCAUAUUCCUUUAGUAUAAGACAAAACCUGAGGAGACAUGAACACUGUUAUGAACUAUUUUGCUGUUUCCCUUCCUGUACUAUGUGCAUUUCAGGAGACUCCUAAAAGAAGAAAUUUCACACCUGGAAGGUAGACAUCAAACCUGGUUGAUCUUUCCAUCUCAGCACCUGAUAUGGUGCCUGGAACAAAGGAAAUGACAAUAAAUGUUGAAAUGAAAAUGUGUAUUGACUGAGUUCCCAUCUCAGAGCUUUGUCAGGUUCAUAUUGGGUAGGUUCCUCUUUUGGAUCAGGCAGGACUCUGUGGGUCCAUCAGAUCUUAUAAGGAGAAAGAUGAGACCCUGCUCUUAAAGGAUAAGCAUCCACAUCAGGGUGUAAACUACUAGUCUGAAUAUUAUGGUCCUACUUCAGGGUUUCUAUGUGAUUUUCAAU